rnacentral:rRNA from 1 species
AUUGAACGCUGGCGGCAUGCCUUACACAUGCAAGUCGAACGGUAACAGGUCUUCGGAUGCUGACGAGUGGCGAACGGGUGAGUAAUACAUCGGAACGUGCCUAGUAGUGGGGGAUAACUACUCGAAAGAGUGGCUAAUACCGCAUGAGAUCUACGGAUGAAAGCAGGGGAUCGCAAGACCUUGUGCUACUAGAGCGGCCGAUGGCAGAUUAGGUAGUUGGUGGGAUAAAAGCUUACCAAGCCGACGAUCUGUAGCUGGUCUGAGAGGACGAUCAGCCACACUGGGACUGAGAAACGGCCCAGACUCCGACGGGAGGGAGCAGUUGUGAAUUUUGGACAAUGGGCGGAAGCCUGAUCCAGCAAUGCCGCGUGCAGGAUGAAGGCCUUCGGGUUGUAAACUGCUUUUGUACGGAACGAAAAGCCCCGGGUUAAUACCCUGGGGUCAUGACGGUACCGUAAGAAUAAGCACCGGCUAACUACGUGCCAGCCGCCGCGGUAA